rnacentral:rRNA from 1 species
UAUCAAUAAGCGGAGGAAAAGAAACCAACAGGGAUUGCCUCAGUAACGGCGAGUGAAGCGGCAAAAGCUCAAAUUUUAAAGCUGGCACCUUCGGUGUCCGCGUUGUAAUUUUGUGAGGCAUCUCCGGGUAGGGCGCCGGCCUAAGUUCCUUGGAACAGGACGUCAUAGAGGGUGAGAAUCCCGUGCUUGGCUGGCUGUCCCCGUCCAUGUGAGGUGUCUUCGACGAGUCGAGUUGUUUGGGAAUGCAGCUCAAAAUGGGUGGUAAAUUUCAUCUAAAGCUAAAUAUUGGUGGGAGACCGAUAGCGCACAAGUAGAGUGAUCGAAAGAUGAAAAGCACUUUGAAAAUAGAGUUAAAAAGUACGUGAAAUUGUUGAAAGGGAAGCGCUUGAGACCAGACUUCGGUGGGGAGUGAUCAGCUGUCCUUCUGGGCGGUGCACUUGCUCCCCUCCGGGCCAGCAUCGGUUGGGACGGCGGGAUAAAGGUCCCGGGAAUGUGGCUCCUCUCGGGGAGUGUUAUAGCCCGGGUGAAUGCCGCCAGCCCCGACCGAGGACCGCGCCUUCGGGCUAGGAUGCUUGGCAUAAUGGUCUUCAGCGACCCGUCUUGAAACACGGACCAAGGAGUCUAACAUCUAUGCGAGUGUUUGGGUGUCAAACCCUUACGCGAAAUGAAAGUGAACGGAGGUGGGAACCCGCAAGGGUGCACCAUCGACCGGUCCCGAAGUCUUCUGAAGGAUCUGAGUAGGAGCAUAGCUGUUGGGACCCGAAAGAUGGUGAACUAUGCCUGAAUAGGGUGAAGCCAGAGGAAACUCUGGUGGAGGCUCGCAGCGGUUCUGACGUGCAAAUCGAUCGUCAAAUUUGGGUAUAGGGGCGAA